rnacentral:lncRNA from 1 species
CAGUUGAUAAAAUGACAAUUUAAAAAUGGCAUGUAGCCAUGGGCUUUUCCAGCAAGGAGUAAGAAAUAAAGUGAUACUUGGAAAUUCCUGGAUAUUGCUUAGAGGAAAAAUGAAAGCAAGAGUCUGCAGCUGUGGCCAGUUAAAACAAUGGGAUUGUACAGUUAGUUCCUAGAAUGUUAUUUUGCACUAGUUGUCACUUAGAAGGAUGGGGUUUAACUGUAAAAUGUUUAUCAAUCAAACUAUUGUAGCAGCUACAAAUAAUUCACCAGCAUGACAAAAUGGUCAAAAAAUAAGUCAUCAGCACUUCAAAAACAAAAGCAACUUUUGAAAUUUUCUUUUAAAAUUGUCAAAUAUAUUUUAUGAAGAAUUUAUAAAAGGGGGAAAUGAUUGUAAUUUAUUGUUCAUGACUUUUUUUUUUUUAAAUAAAGUGCGUU